rnacentral:tRNA from 1 species
GCGAGAGUGGUGGAAUUGGUAGACACGCAAGAUUUAGGAUCUUGUGCCGUAAGGCGUGGGGGUUCGAGUCCCUUCUCUCGCACCA